rnacentral:sRNA from 12 species
UGGAUAUACAGGCAGCAAUGCACUGUAUACAUUCGGUGUCUGAUAUUCGUAUUAAGCGUAUGUUAAGUACGCCAGCCCGGAUGGGAAAGCAGCCGUCAUUUGAUGGUUGCUUUUUUGUUUCC